AGCUCCAGUAGCGUAUAUUAAAGUUGUUGCAGUUAAAAAGCUCGUAGUUGGAUUUCUGGUACGCUGCGCCUGGCCCGCCCGCGAUAGCGGUGUGAGUGCUGGUGCGCGGUUGCCAUCCUUCUAGAGAACGGGUCUGCCCUUGAUUGGGAGGGAUUCGGGAUCUAGAUCAUUUACUUUGAAAAAAUUAGAGUGUUUAAAGCAGGCUUUUGCUAUGAAUACAUUAGCAUGGAAUAAUAAUAUAGGACUUUGGUUCUAUUUUGUUGGUUUCUAGGACUAAAGUAAUGAUUGAUAGGGAUAGUUGGGGGUGCUAGUAUUCAGCGGCCAGAGGUGAAAUUCUUGGAUUCGCCGGAGACUAACUUAUGCGAAAGCAUUCACCAAGGAUGUCUUCUUUAAUCAAGAA
rnacentral:rRNA from 1 species